ensembl:lncRNA
AUGUCCACGUAGAAGAUGGAACAUCUCUCCAGCUGAGCAGCAGAGUACAGGAGGGUUCCAUGUUCAGAGGAUGUUCUCCACUGGGCCUCAGGCCCUCAAAAACAAAGGAGGAGGACACACAGUCUGUUGCAUCGCAGCCACCCCUGUCUCCUUGCCCAGGGCCCAGCCCUUCCUUUCCACGUCCUCUGUCCUGCCCUCUCACCUCUGCCUCUACUUACCAUCCUACUCUCCUCUGGUUUGAGCUGUCAGAGGGGUACAGCUCUUUCUAUGAUCUCCAUAUGAUGGCCAUGACGCCAAUGCCUGUGUGAAACAGGGAACUGCCACUGAUCUGCC